rnacentral:miRNA from 1 species
CGUGGAUAUUCCUUCUAUGUUU